rnacentral:rRNA from 1 species
GAUGAACGCUGGCGGCGUGCCUAAUACAUGCAAGUCGAGCGAACAGACGAGGAGCUUGCUCCUCUGACGUUAGCGGCGGACGGGUGAGUAACACGUGGAUAACCUACCUAUAAGACUGGGAUAACUUCGGGAAACCGGAGCUAAUACCGGAUAAUAUAUUGAACCGCAUGGUUCAAUAGUGAAAGACGGUUUUGCUGUCACUUAUAGAUGGAUCCGCGCCGCAUUAGCUAGUUGGUAAGGUAACGGCUUACCAAGGCAACGAUGCGUAGCCGACCUGAGAGGGAGGCCGGCAACCGGGAACGAGAGAGCGGCCCGCACCACCGGGGGGGGGAAAAGGGGGGAACUCUUCCGGAAGGGCGAAGUGCGGAAGGAGGCACCCCGGAGGGAAUAAUGAGGGUGUGAGGACGAAAAAACUUUGUAAUUGGGAAAAAAAAAAAGUGAAUGUAAAUGGGCAGGUCAUGACGGUACCAAAAGAAAAAGCCCGGGCUAACUACGGG